GUUACAAUCAUCUGAACAUGGCAUGAAAUGACAGAUUCUGACUCAGGCUUCUCCCUAUUGUUUAGGUUUGAACAAGUCAGAAGACACCUGGGGACUAGAUGGUGGAAUAAACAGACUCUUCAGCACUAAUGAUUCUGCAAUAGCAUGAGAUAUGCUGGUGGAAUGCGGCUGGGACAAUGUUGAAUUUGGAAAAGGAUCCAUUCUUGUCAGGAGUGAUUCACAGGUUUUCAUUUUCUGCCUGGGAAGAGCCCACAGCCCAUGGGAAGAGCCCACAGCCCAUAUUCUGAAGAAGGUGUUAUGAACUAGACCAGACAUAAAAGUGGUCUCAGCAAGCAGUGGAAAAGAUACACAUGAGAUAAGGAUACCUGGUGGUACACAUCGAGGCAGCUUCCUGCUACCUCCUCAAUUCUCGUGGAAGCACACCAGAAGCUAUGUCUCAGCAGCCUGUGCAGAGUGAAGAAUCCUCCGAGUCAGAACACAUAAGGUAGGAGGAAGACAGGCAAGUCAAAUUACUUAAA
rnacentral:lncRNA from 12 species